rnacentral:misc_RNA from 1 species
GGUCUUAGUCUUAUAUUUUGGUUCUCCCGCUUUACGUAUACAAUCUUAAUAUAAUCCUAGUCCCCUAGGAUCCCUUAGAUUUUUUAAGAUCCCAUGGAAUUUAUUGACGAUCUUUGUUAAUUAUAACGAAUUCGUGUGAAUUUUUUUUGAGGAUCCCAGGGAUUUUCAAGUAAUCAAUAGAAAGUCUGCAGUUUUAUAUAUCAACGUGACUGGUGUGAGCAAUAAUUUCACCCUUUAUGGGCUAGUCCAUGGAGUGAAGGCUUAGUUGUCAGAUCAGAUGUGCAUAAAACACAAGAUUUAUCUCGCACAAGAUGUUGUAAUGUGAGCAGGCUUCCCUUGAUCUGUCUAUGACAUGUAUUAAACAUUUGCUUGUGUAUUGACGUAAAGAUGCGUUAUUAGCUCUGUGUGUGUUUUGGUAUAUAUGUGUAUUAGAGAGAAGAUUGUGUACUGAUGCAUACAUGACAUCAUUUUCAUCAUAUGGCUGUGUAUUUUAUAUAUUGAAAUGAGGCAUUACAGACCUAAAUCCCAAUGUUUGCCUCUUCGUAUGACUUAACAGUGCUAUUAGCUAGAAUUUUUCUUGUUUUGUGUUGUACUCAUUUGAAGUAAAACACACCAUAUUGAU